AGAUUCCGUUGCAGCAAAGAGCCGCAGCAGCUUCGCCAUUAGGGAAGCUUGUUGGCCAGACUAUGCAUGGGCCUAGAGUGGCGAUAACUCUGGCAAGAUUUCUGCCUGAUGGCCUUGUCUCGGUAAUCAGGGAUGAUCCUGGUGAAGCAGUUGUGACUGCUCUUGAACAAACAACAGAAACUCCUGAACUUGUCUGGACUCCAACAAUGAUCGUUGUCUGCACAAAUAGCAACUAUGGCUUCGGAUCUGUACCGUGAACAGGUGAAAGGACGUGUUGUUGAUUGGGAUGUACCUGAGCAGGCUUCUGGCCAACAGGAGAUGAGAAAUGAACCUCAGGUUUUGCAUGCAUUUGCAACAGUAGGGGCCUAUUGUACCAAAGUACGUGACAUACUGAGUGCCUCUGAUGCAACCAAGAAAAUUACACUGCCAAACUUGCGAAAGACUUUCACGCAGAUUUGAAGGUCUGCUUAGAGGGAGACAACGGAUACUCCUUUUGUACCCCAAGCCAUCUUCCUUCUAGCUACUCAGCUGGCGAUGCAGAUAUAAGUGCAGAUAAGAGUCCGAAACAGUGAGCUCGUCUUGUGAAUCUAGGAGUUACAUUUGCUACGCUUGGCUAGAAGACCACGGUGAUGUUCCCGGAAGUGCUUUAGUAUUGGUGUCCUGUGGUGCAGGUGACUAUUCAUAUGCUAUCAUAUCAUUUUUAUCAUAUGUCCCCCAAUGUUUUGUGUUGCUGGGUUCUCAUUUUCUUGGAUUUUUGACUAAUUGGAGCGUAUUUCUUCAUUGUUUUUGCUGCUUUGAUUUAAUUUAUCUAGUAAUAAUAGCGUUUGUGUUCUGCCACCUUGCAUAUCUGCUGCUGAAACUCUGUUGUUCUCCAUUUUCAACUUUCUUGUUCACAACAUAUAUAGUCAACUAACAUAUUGUAGAACUCUUGUAAAGUUGAUCAGCUCUUGUGGUAGAGAUUGUGUUCUUGCUUGAGUGCUUGGACUCAUGUUGAAGUAACUUCCUCCUUGCUUAUACAACUCUUUGACAGUAUAAGAAUUGACGGGUGAUUAAUACAGUUGUUGAACAAAACCUUCCAGCCAAAAAGGUCUCAUCAAGGACCAACACAUCAGACGGAGGAGCACAAGACUUUUUGACUGUCUCCAGUGUUGGAAUCCUGUUGCUCAAAACUGUGCUGUCACAUAAAUAAAUGUGGUUGCUGCUCGUUUGUGCUUACUCUAUUGUUCUUACUUCAAAUUAAUUCAAAAGUACACGUUUUCUUUCAAAAAAAGUAUUUUAUUUUAGAUGGUCAAAUUAUAUUAAAUUAUCACAAUUUACUUUCUAAAAUUUUGAAAUUUCUCACUUUGUCAUUCGACUUAGGGCCGUUCACUUGGAGUUAGGAUAAAUAGCCUAAUUCAAUAAAAGCUUGUUUCUUGUUUACUUUGAGUGUUAGGGCCUGGGCUUGUGGCCCGAGCGUGGCAUUAUUAUUAUUUGGACACAAUUAAUCACCAACAGAGGGGGUUUAUUAUCUUAUUCGAAUUUAGACUCCUUAAAUAUUCAUUGAUAUUAUUUAUUGUUUUACUCAAAUUCUACCCAUAAAAU